UACUUGACCUCCAUUCCAGUUCUGUGCUCCCUGCGUUGGCACUGAUGCAAAAUGGUGCUGCUACUUCAGGAUUGAAUUGCAGGUCUGCAAGUGCUCUGGAUCCGAACAACCCGCAUCCUAUGCUUUACCCUAAUCUGGAUUUAGGAACAGCAAAUGCUCAACAGCUCUUAUUUGCAACAGACACGCAAAGUAUAAGCCAAAGCAGCCCUGCUGUCCAUACGUACGACAACCUUUUACAUCCAGUGCCUCUGCAUCUGGUGAACCUCCAAAAUGGCAAUGCCUUAUCACUAAAUGGAGCCUUGCCAGGUGCAACACCAGCAGAUGAAUCAAAGAGCAAGUCACAGCCACAGUACUAUGAGAUAAUGGAGUUUGAUCCUUUAGCACCAAGUGAUGCCACAGAAGCUAUUUACGAAGAAAUUGAUGCUUAUUUGUCCAAACCAGGAGUUAAAGAAGUUUCCAAAUGCUGAGACAGGAAAUGAAGUUUUGUCUCAAAAGUUUCUCUCUGAUGCCAGCUUCGGAGAUCUGUUUUCUAUCAGUGACAAGUGAAUGCAAGAUUGUAUUUUGAACAUAGCAACAAGUAUUGGGAUUUUAAGUAACAGAUAUGCUUUACUUGGAUAUAUCAUCAACUCUGAUCUCUAACACUACACACAAGGCCUUAAACGUUGAAGUGCUAAUUUUUCAAUGGGACAAUUCUGUGGGCAUGUGUUGGCAGGAUCAGGGUUUACACCUUUAUUUAAAACAUGCUUUCAAAACUUCCCUAUUUAAAAAUAACACACUCUGCCUCUGACUUCAGUAGAACACAAGCAGCCUUGUAACUGUAGACAGGAGUUUUAUGUCGCGUUAGCCGCUAUGUCAUACUGCUUAGUUUUUAUGCAGUAAACUAAAAUGGAACUUUGAUCCAUUUACAGAUAUAUAAUUUAUCUUUAUUUAACCUAACUUCUGACUUGUCAUUGUGCAAGUACUUUGAGCGAUACCAACCAGAAAAAGAAAACCCUGGAGAUUCUUCUGUAUUCAGAAUUCUCCUACUUCAGGCCUCUUGACUGUUAUGUGAAUACAUUCACUAUGCAAUGUUCAUUGCCUUUAUAUUUUAAAUCUAAAAUCAUAAGUGAUGAUGAUUUGGUUUUUUAAACCAAAUCAGGUGAAGUGCCUGUUCUCAAAACAAAGGGAAACAAUAAACUUUCUUUCAACACACA
rnacentral:lncRNA from 1 species